GGGGAGCGGGAGAGUACUGAGAGAAAAAGACGGAAGGUCGUGGAAAAACGCUAUGUUGGGCGAGGAGUAGUAGCUGGGAUGAGGAGAGGAGAGAGACAGGCUGCGUUACCGAAUGGGCAGUCUGUUAUCUUAAAGGUCUGGCUCUACUGCCUAGGCUGGAGUGCAGUGGCACGAUCUGGGCUUACUGCAGCCUCCACAUCCCUUCAAGCAAUCCUGCCUCCACCUCCCUAGAUGCUGGGACCACAGUGGCACCUGGCUCCAUGUCCUGUAUAUGUCUGACUCCUAGAGGCCAGAGAGGCCAGGGAACUUCCUUGUACUAAGGAAUAAGAAAUACAUUGGUGAAAGGAGACCUGUCAAGGCCAAGAGUGGGGGAUACUGCCAUGGAACAUGGAUCUCUAGUAUCAAAAGGGAUGAUGGAAUUCCAGAAUACCAGAAGCCAAAUGAUAACACCCAGCUAACAGAGCAAAGCUUCCUCAUUUUCUCUUGCCACCACCAUGUAAGAAGUGCCUUUCGCCUCCCACCAUGAUUCUGAGGCCUUGCCAGCCUUGUGGAAAUGUAAGUCCAAUUAAACCUCUUUUUCUUCCCAGUCUUGGGUGGGUCUUUAUCAGCAGCAUGAAAAUGGACUAAUACAGUAAAUUGGUACCAGUAGAGUGGGGUGUUUCUGGAAAGAUACCCGAAAAUGUAGAAACAACUUUGGAACUGGGUAACAGGUAGAGGUUGGAACAGUUUGGAGGGCUCAGAGAAGACAGGAAAAUGUGAGAAAGUUUGGAACUUCCUAGAGACUUGUUGAAUGACUUUGACAAAAAUGCUGAUAGUGAUAUGAACAAUAAGGUCCAGGCUAAGGUGGUCUCAGAUAGAGACGAGGAACUUGUUGGGAACUGGAGCAAAGGUGACUCUUGUUAUGUUUUAGCAAAGGGACUGGCAGCAUUUUGCCCCUGCCCUAGGGAUUUGUGAAACUUUCAACUUGAGAGAGAUGAUUUAGGGCAUCUGGCGGAAGGAAUUUGUAAGCAGCAAAGCAUUCAAGAUGUGACUUGGUUGCUGUUAAAGGCAUUCAGUUUUAAAAGGGAAGCAGAGCAUAAAAGUUCAGAAAAUUUGCAGCCUGACAGUGCGAUAGAAAAGAAUCCUAGCUGGGCGCAGCAACUCAUGCCUGUAAUCCCAGCACUUUGGGUGGCUGAAGUGGGUGGAUCAUUUGAAGUCAGGAAUUCUAGACUACCCGGGCCAACAUGGGGAAACCCUGUCUCCACUAAAAAUACAACACUUAGCCAGGCAUGGUGGUUCAUACCUAUAAUCCCAGCUACUCAGGAGGCUGAGGCAAGAGAAUCACUUGAACCCAGGAGAUGGAGGUGGCAGUAAGUCGAGAUUGCAGCAUUGCACUCCAGCCUGGGCAACAGAGUGAGACUCCAUCAGGGAUAAAAAAAAAAAAAAA
rnacentral:lncRNA from 1 species